rnacentral:rRNA from 1 species
UCAACGCGGGAAAUCUUACCGGGUCCGGACACACUGAGGAUUGACAGACAAAUAUAGAAAUUUUAUAUUUCUCAUAUAUAAAGAUGCUAGUUCUUUCAUGAUUAUGUGAUAGGUGGUGCAUGGCCGUUCUUAGUUCGUGGAGUGAUCUGUCUGCUUAAUUGCGUUUCAAUUUUUAUUAUGUAUACGUAUGACCCACGUUUACGCGUGCGAGUCUAGUAUGCUAUCAUUUGAAAGCAACGAACGUGACCGUAUCCUUUUAUUAUAUACGCACGCGUAUAUUUAUUCAUUAAAGGGACCGCUGUUUCUUUUUUUAAACCAGAGGAAGGUUACGGCAAUAACAGGUCUGUGAUGCCCUUCGAUGUUCCGGGCUGCACACGUGCUACAAUGAUUAUUUCAUUAAGUAUCUACUAUACUGCACAUUAUGUGUAUUAAAACCUACCCUGAGAAUGGGCGGGUAAUCAAUUAGAAGUAAUGAUUUCCUUUUUUU